rnacentral:rRNA from 1 species
CAGUAGCCGCGGUAAUACGUAGGGUGCAAGCGUUAAUCGGAAUUACUGGGCGUAAAGCGUGCGCAGGCGGUUAUAUAAGACAGAUGUGAAAUCCCCGGGCUCAACCUGGGAACUGCAUUUGUGACUGUAUAGCUAGAGUACGGCAGAGGGGGAUGGAAUUCCGCGUGUAGCAGUGAAAUGCGUAGAUAUGCGGAGGAACACCGAUGGCUAAGGCAAUCCCCUGGGCCUGUACUGACGCUCAUGCACGAAAGCGUGGGUAGCAAACAGGAUUAGAUACCCCCGUAGUCCCUGUCUCUUAUAC